CAGGCCUAACACAUGCAAGUCGAGCGGACCAUUCCUUCGGGGAUGGUUAGCGGCGGACGGGUGAGUAACACGUAGGCAACCUGCCUGUAAGAUCGGGAUAACUACCGGAAACGGUAGCUAAGACCGGAUAGCUGGUUUCUCCGCAUGGAGGGAUCAUGAAACAUGGGGCAACCUGUGGCUUACGGAUGGGCCUGCGGCGCAUUAGCUAGUUGGUGGGGUAAUGGCCCGCCAAGGCGACGAUGCGUAGCCGACCUGAGAGGGUGAUCGGCCACACUGGGACUGAGACACGGCCCAGACUCCUACGGGAGGCAGCAGUAGGGAAUCUUCCGCAAUGGGCGCAAGCCUGACGGAGCAACGCUGCGUGAGUGAUGAAGGUUUUCGGAUCGUAAAGCUCUGUUGCCAAGGAAGAACGCCUCGGAGAGUAACUGCUCUGAGGGUAACGGUACUUGAGAAGAAAGCCCCGGCUAACUACGUGCCAGCAGCCGCGGUAAUACGUAGGGGGCAAGCGUUGUCCGGAAUUAUUGGGCGUAAAGCGCGCGCAGGCGGUCUUUUAAGUUUGGUGUUUAAGCCCGGGGCUCAACCCCGGUUCGCACUGAAAACUGGGAGACUUGAGUGCAGGAGAGGAAAGCGGAAUUCCACGUGUAGCGGUGAAAUGCGUAGAGAUGUGGAGGAACACCAGUGGCGAAGGCGGCUUUCUGGACUGUAACUGACGCUGAGGCGCGAAAGCGUGGGGAGCAAACAGGAUUAGAU
rnacentral:rRNA from 1 species